rnacentral:rRNA from 1 species
UUCAGGGAGGUAGUGACAAUAAAUACCUUACAGAGGUCUCGUUAACCGAGAUCUCUCAAACGGAAUGAGUACAACGUGAAUCCUUUAACGAGGAUCGACUGGAGGGCAAGCCUGGUGCCAGCAGCCGCGGUAAUUCCAGCUCCAGUAGCGUAUAUUAAAGCUGUUGCGGUUAAAAAGCUCGUAGUUGGAUAUCAGUGCGUGUCCGGUCCGGUAUGCCCGGCGGUGGCGUUCGCGCGUCGCUGCUGGGCUCCCAAAUAUCGGCUGGCCGCAUUCAAUCGUGCCGGAUCCGUCGGCGGGCCGUUCUUCGUAGGGGCCUGUUGGCGGCCGGCGAGGUUACCUUGAACAAAUUAGAGUGCUCAAAGCAGGCUCUGAAUGCCUGUAUACAUAUUCAUGGAAUUGGAGAAUACGUCCCUGGCUCGAUUUGGUUGGUUUUGCGAGUCGAAGGGAAAUGAUUAAUAGGGACUGACGGAGGCAUUCGUAUUGCGACGCGAGGGGUGAAAUCCUGUGACCGUCGCACGACGAACUACUGCGAAAGCAUUUGCCGAGAAUGUUUUCAUUAGUCAAGAACGAAAGUUAGAGGUUCGAAGGCGAUCAGAUACCGCCCUAGUUCUAACCGUAAACGAUGUCGACCAGCAAUCCGCAACGGUCACUACACGGACUGUGCGGGCAGCUUCCCCGGGGAAACCAGAGUUUUUGGACUCCGGGGGAAGUAUGGUUGCAAAGCUGAAACUUAAAGGAAUUGACGGAAGGGCACCACCAGGAGUGGAGCUUGCGGCUUAAUUUGACUCAACACGGGACAACUCACCAGGCCCGGACACCGUAAGGAUUGACAGACUGAUAGCUCUCUCUUGAUUCAGUGGGUGGUGGUGCAUGGCCGUUCUUAGUUGGUGGAGUGAUUUGUCUGGUUUAUUCCGAUAACGAACGAGACUCUGGCCUAUUAAACUUGACACUGUCCGUCACUGUGACGGCG